ensembl:misc_RNA 7SK 7SK RNA
UGAGGCAGGGGUGAUCUGGUGUCAGCAUCUGACCCCGGAGGUUGGUCUGGCUGCUCUGUCUAGUGUGGCGGGCCCACUUCCUCAUCUGAGGAUGAUUGCGUGGCCCUGGGGAAGCUGUGGGCUACCUGGAAAGUAAGUGUCCCAGAAAGAGGAGAAAUACUCUUUGGUCAAAGACAUAUGAAGAGCUGCCUUCACAGGCUAUAACCUCCAAGCAAGCUGGGAAGGGAGCCGGCAGCAGGUCAGGGAGGGCCUUGUAAGUCAUAGCAAAGAAUCUGCUUUUAUGCUGCAAGGACUGAGUGCUACUAAGAGUCUUAAACA